rnacentral:rRNA from 1 species
UACGUAGGUGGCAAGCGUUGUCCGGAUUUACUGGGCGUAAAGGGAGCGUAGGCGGAUACUUAAGUGGGAUGUGAAAUACCUGGGCUUAACUUGGGUGCUGCAUUCCAAACUGUUUGUCUAGAGUGUUGGAGAGGAAAGUGGAAUUCCUAGUGUAGCGGUGAAAUGCGUAGAGAUUAGGAAGAACACCAGUGGCGAAGGCGACUUUCUGGACAAUAACUGACGCUGAGGCUCGAAAGCGUGGGGAGCAAACAGGAUUAGAUACCCUGGUAGUCCACGCCGUAAACGAUGGGUACUAGGUGUAGGAGGUAUCGAAAACUCCUGUGCCGCCGUUAACACAAUAAGUACCCCGCCUGGGGAGUACGGUCGCAAGAUUAAA